rnacentral:rRNA from 1 species
AGAGUUUGAUCCUGGCUCAGGACGAACGCUGGCGGCGUGCCUAAUGCAUGCAAGUCGCACGAUCAUCACUUCGGUGAUGGUAGUGGCGCACGGCUGAGUAACACGUGGGUUAUCUGCCCCGGUGUGGGGGACAACAGGUCGAAAGAUCUGCUAAUCCCGCAUACGUUCCGCUUCGGCGGAAGAAAGCCUUCGGGCGCACUGGGAUGAGCCUACGGCCCAUCAGGUAGUUGGUGUGGUAAGAGCGCACCAAGCCGAUGACGGGUACCUGGUCUGAGAGGACGACCAGGCAGACUGGGACUGAGACACGGCCCAGACUCCUACGGGAGGCAGCAGCAAGGAAUUUUCCGCAAUGGGCGAAAGCCUGACGGAGCAACGCCGCGUGCAGGAAGACGGCUUUCGGGUUGUAAACUGCUUUUACUGGGGAAGAAAAGGACGGUACCCGGUGAAUAAGCCCCGGCUAACUCCGUGCCAGCAGCCGCGGUGAUACGGAGGGGGCAAGCGUUGUCCGGACUUAUUGGGCGUAAAGGGUACGUAGGUGGUUCUAUGCGUCGGCACUGAAAGCUCCCGGCUUAACUGGGAGAGGCGUGGCGAUACGAUAGAACUCGAGGCAGGGAGAGGUUAGCAGAAUUCCGGGUGUAGUUGUGAAAUGCGUAGAUAUCCGGAGGAAUACCUGUGGCGAAGGCGGCUAACUGGCCCUGUCCUGACACUGAGGUACGAAAGCGUGGGGAGCGAACCGGAUUAGAUACCCGGGUAGUCCACGCUGUAAACGAUGUCGGCUCGGUGUUUGGGGAUGAUACAACCAUCUCUGAGUGCCUAAGUAUACACGGUAAGCCGACCGCCUGGGGACUACGAGCGCAAGCUUAAAACUCAAAGGAAUUGACGGGGGCCCGCACAAGCAGCGGAGCGUGUGGUUUAAUUCGACACAACACGAAGAACCUUACCCAGGCUUGACAUGUUCCUGCAAGCGCACGGAGACGUGUGACCUUAGAGGGUGGAACACAGGUGCUGCAUGGCUGUCGUCAGCUCGUGUCGUGAGAUGUUGGGUUAAGUCCCGCAACGAGCGCAACCCUCGCUGUCAGUUAUUAGUGUCUGACGGGACAGCCGUCUAUAGAGGCGGAGGAAGGUGGGGAUGACGUCAAGUCCGCAUGGCCCUUACGCCUGGGGCUACACACACGCUACAAUGGCCGAGACAAUGUGUCGCGAUCUCGCAAGAGCUAGCUAAUCACGAAACUCGGUCUCAGUACAGAUCGGGGGCUGAAACUCGCCCCCGUGAAGUUGGAGUUGCUAGUAACCGCGUAUCAGCUAUGGCGCGGUGAAUACGUGCCCGGGCCUUGUACACACCGCCCGUCACGUCAUGGGAGUCGGCAAUGCUUGAAGUCUGUGAGCUAACCCGCAAGGGAGGCAGCGGCCGAGGGCAGGGCUGGCGACUGGGACGAAGUCGAAACAAGGUA